rnacentral:rRNA from 1 species
ACAAUAUACAAGGUGCUGCAUGGUUGUCGUCAGCUCGUGCCGUGAGGUGUCGGUUAAGCCCAUAACGAGCGCAACCCCUAUCAUUAGUUGCCAUCAGGUCAAGCUGGGGACUCUAAUGAAACUGCCUACGCAAGUAGUGAGGAAGGUGGGGAUGACGUCAAAUCAGCACGGCCCUUACGUCCAGGGCUACACACGUGCUACAAUGGCCGGUACAAAGGGCAGCUACCUGGUGACAGGAUGCUAAUCUCAAAAGCCGGUCUCAGUUCGGAUCGGAGUCUGCAACCCGACUGCGUGAAGUCGGAAUCGCUAGUAAUCGUGAAAUCAGAAUGUCACGGUGAAUACGUUCCCGGGCCUU